rnacentral:lncRNA from 1 species
CGGCGCGGCGGAAAGGCGCGGAAUCCCGGGCGCGCGCUGCCCCGGCUGCUGCUGCGGAAGCUGCUGCGGGCGUCGGGCGGGGGUCCCGGGGCGGGCGUCCCCGUCGGACCGCUGCUGCCCACCCCGCGGACCCGGCUGCGUGGGGCGGGGCGCCGGAGCGGCGGCCGGGCUCGCGUGCGCGGCUGGAGGUUCCUGAGGCCGAAUCUGGUUCCUAGGAAACAUCAAAGGGAGCCUGCACCAGAGGCCUCUCAGGAUGUGCCCGGAAGCCUGCGUCCAUCCACUGUGUGGGACGGAAUGACACCCCCCACGAGUGUGCUGUCUCCGUUGCUGUUUCUGGUGACCGUCGCAGGUAGGAAGCCAGGUGGGGCCCGCGGCCAGUGUGCUGACGGGAGGAAGCACGCCAACGCUGUCCUUCGCCCGACGUGGAAACUACUAGAAUCCUGCGGGGGACCACACGGGCGCUUGCUGUCGCUGGGCCGCCUGUGACCUGGCCUGGUGGGCGGGGGGGGAGGUGCCGCUGCUACCUGGUGAGCUGCCCACCCUCGCUCUGAGAGCUGUGAGCCCCGCAGGGCGGGCCCGUCGGGUCCCCACUCACCUUUGUCCGGAGGCCCGGGUGGCGGCUGCACGGCGGGGAGACGCUGCUGACCGGGGACGCGGCGUCGGGACUCAGGGGGGAGGGACCCCCCCCCCCGAAGAUCUAGGAAAGGACCCCCCUUCC